rnacentral:lncRNA from 1 species
AGCAACACAUGAGUAAGGAGAAUUUAAGAAGGAUUGAAGAUGGUUUGCGAUACAUCAGCUAGAAAAAUAUCCAUCUGUCUGGAGGCAGCUGCAGCAUCUCAGAACAAAGAUUUUUGAACGGAACAAUAACCAGAUUUCUUGAUCGGAACAAAGACUUAACAGAUGGUGCUCUCUUAGAGUGACCAAAAGCUGAUACUGGAAACAUCACAUCGGCUACGGAAUAUAUGGUCGUAUGGGAUAAUUGAGGUACCCAGCCUUAACAUUUUUAGGCAGAUCAGGAGAGUUGAAGAUCAGGGUUACAUGUUUCGUGUUUAUCAACUGACCUUCCUUACGCACCAUGAUCGGCCUGGCAGCACAGACAUUUUCAUCAGCUAGCUCUAAAACGAACUUUUCUUCGUAAACAAACAGAAGGUCGAACUCAGAAAUUACGCCUCUACAAAAGUUUAGCAUUUUUAUGUGCAUACACAGUUACAUCAAUUUGCCCGAGCUUGGUUAAUCGAUAGAGAGAAGCAGAUUGGAUGGCUGAAGUUGUAUCGAUAAACAAAUCUCCAGAAAGACGAAGCUUUAUAUUUAUUGGCUCGCUAAUGAAAGAACGAUUAUAUUUAUUAAUUACGAAUGGUAAUUAAUACCUUUGACAUUUCUUCAGAAGGGCUUGAGACUACAAGGAAAUGUGGACAUACGUUAGGUUUAUUAGCACUUGCAUCGGUACGCAUCUUUUUUAUAGUAAAUUCUUCAGCAUGUUCGGUAUUUGUAAUGAUGUGAUUAGAUUCUUGGUUUUUAAUCAUACGAAUAUUUGGAGUCGCCAUAUUUGAAAGAAAAAAAGAUUUGAGUCCGACCGCCCAACCCUCCACGGAUCCCAAAAAGGGAGCCCAGAUUCCUGUGUUCCUAUAACAAACUGAAGCUCCAUGGUCGGCUUUCCCGAAAGCAGGUACUCCCGAGACCUUAUCCCCAAGCCGCCGACACUAAGGUCAGAAGAACAGCCGAUUGACACCCGUGAGGACAACAAAGUGCAGUGUAUUAGGGACAGUACCUUUUCCCUCAACUAUCAGGACACUCCUUUCCAGUGACACGGAUCUCUACACAUGGCAAACACAUGAGUAGUUUUCUCGCCACUUAAAGCUAGAAACAAGAGCUGUAGUAGCCUCUCAUGACUAGCCUCAAUCUCUAAAAGAGGAAAACCACAGUGAAGAGAAGUCGGAGACAGAUGGUGUUAAGAGAAGGGGAAAAGAAGAAAAUAACCUGAUAAUACAUAAAUAAAAAUAUAUGUUGACUUGUGACCAUUUUUUCGAUCAUUAAAAGAUUUUUAUCAAUUUUCCAAUGAUGUUGAAUUCCAGCGAUUCUAAAAACUUCAGCCACCAGAGAGUGAAAGGCUAAAGUUACAACGAACUGGCAAUUCGCUCCAAGUUCUGUUACCAACAGUAGAAAUACGCUGAAUUCACGGAAAUGCAGCGAUGCCCCAUCAUAUGUAACAACCAUACGAAGCAAUUUCUCUCUGAAAAUCUUCCAUCAAAAUUCUGGGAUGCAUAUUUCUUAUACUCUUGGCCAUAAUGAGAUAAUCCUAUUAAAUGCAAACUUGACUGACUUGGCAAACUGCGUAACUGUCAAUGAAUGAAAAAUGCUGAUUUAUUAAUUAGAAUUUUGCAUCACAGAAAUCUAAAACAUUUAGUGUAUUGUCAUGGAAUUCAUUGUAUACAACAUCUGUUAAAAACAUUCCUAACCUGUAGCUACGUUUUUAUUAGGAACAAAUUAAUUAACGUCAGGUUUAUUGUUUGUUGCAAUAAACCCAUGAAUAGCGAGAAUUAAAAUAAUAAAUAUUAAAAUAUAACGUAAUAUUAACAAGUAAACUUGUAUAUAUUGGUAAAAAGAAGGACCUACGAACAAACCUAAGAAACCAAAACUAGCGCGAAACAGUAACAAGGAAGUAAAUGCAUUAAAUCAGCCAAUCGGAGAGUAUCAACUGAAAAGUUGCCGUUUCUUGCGCCGCGAUUACGCAAUAUACGCGCCUCUUGACUUUUCCUAGAAUUUCCUGGAAUACAAGAACAAGGUUAGCCAAUCAGAAUGCUCCUAGGGAUUUUUAUGAGGAAGUAAAUUCUUAGGGAUUUCGAAUAGGGAAUUUUUAUUUCUCUCUUCAUCUCUCGCCGCUACACCGAAUCUCCCUGUUAACAGUGUUUCUAUCAGAUAAAACCCCAUCUAUGAGUACAACAAAAAAUAUAAAUAUUAUUUAACAAGAUGCCCAGAGUUGCUAAAGUAAGUUCAUGAUAAUAAAAUCUCACAAUUAAAAAGGUUAGUAUUUCAUUUAAAUUACAAUUUAUGACUACUUUAAAUGCAUUCGAAAUUAAAAUUAUUUAAUUGAAUAAAUAUUUGUUUUCAAAAUGUUGCAAUAAAAUUAUUUGUUAUAAAUAUUGGUCCCCUCCUCUCUCCACUGUAAUAAUUAGUAUUUAAGUCAUGUUUAUUUUUUUUAAUCUAGAAAGACAUCAGUAUUUUUUUAUGCUAAGCUUAAAAUUAUUUGUUGAAAUAUCGAUGUUAUUGAGUUUAAUUUUUGCAAUGCAUUAAUAUUUUAUGAUUUUAUGGUAUUUAUGUGUGGAGGUGAGGGGUCUGAUUGAGAAAUUUUGUGCAUUGAUAUAUUUAUGCUGUUGUUUAUGUAUAUGAUUCUUAUCGCGAACUGUGUAAAAAUAUGCCCUUUUCUGAACCUUAUCUUGACACUUUGAAAUUGUGCUUUACGUUUAAAAUACUUAAAUGUUCUGAAUAAAUAAAAAAAAGAAAAGAAAAUCACGAGGUUUUAAGUUUUCGCAAAUAUUUAUACUUAAAUAUUUUUCAAAUUUUGCUGUGCUUUAGUUUGUUACUUAUGUUAAAUUUAAUGUUGUUUUAGUUCAUGUAAAACAUCAUUUAUUGUAUUCUGUUUCUCAAUGUUUGUUACUUAAAAGAAUAGUUAAUAUUAUUAGAUUUUUCUGAUCGUAACUUUAAUAUUUUAAAAUUUCCAUUUUUUAACUUGUACAUUUUAUUGUCUUACAUAUUUCUGACACAUGUCUAUAAUUAAAUAUUUAUAUGUAUAAUUCAGCAAAAGUAAUUUUUAAUAUAAUACGUAUAAAGAAUUAUAAGCCUGUUUACUUCACUUCUAUUUUAUAUGCCAAGAUUUUAGCUGAUCAAUAACUAUGGUUUUCAAAAUAAUAAAAUAAAUAAAAGUAUUCCAAGCUAUUAUUUUACAUUCAUAAAAUUGCUUAUAUGCGUUAAAUAACUAAUUAAAAAAUAUUAGAAGAGUUUACAUAAGAAAUGCAAGAUAGUAAUAGUAUGAAAGCAAAAGAGAAGGUAACCGACCUCUUUCGAAAGGCCGAUUUCGGCUAAAAAAUCUCCAUUUUUUUAUUUCACAUUUUUAAAGGUCAUAAUACAAUCAAAACUACUUUUCUUUUCUUAACAUGUUUAUUAGAAGUGAAGAUAAACCAGUUUUUUUUUGAGAGACGGUAAACCGGAAGUUAUUUUUUGCCACAGCGGAAGUGAAAGUUUAAAGGGCAAAUUAAAAACUUAAUUUUCGCCUUUUUAUGUUAUGUGUUAUCUAAAUAAUUUUAAGCAUUUAAGUUAGUUUAGAGAAUCUGGAAAAGUAUUUUUACUAUAAAUUUUCUCAUUUUACGUUUGGCAAAGUGAAUAGUUGUGUAUAUAUGUGGGGCAUUGUUAAUCUGAGAAAUUUAAACGCUAUUUUUUAUACUUUUUUUAUGAUUUAUUUUCAAACAACCAUGAUAACUCUAAAAAUUCCCUUACAGAAUCACUUGAAAUUUUGCAAACAGAGUUUGCAUAUUAUUAUGCAUGAUAUAGGCUGAGAGUUAAAAAAUUAGCCUUACAGAAUUUAAAUUAUAUAAUUUUUCCUUCAAUAGUGUACGCGUUUGUUUUCUAAUUUUUGUGUGUUGACUAGCAUAUUUAGCCAUGCAUUAAUCAACAUUUUCCAAUUAUUCUACUUCACUGCACUCUUAUGGUUAAUCAUAAUUAUUUUCUAGUCAGUGAUAGCUGAUGUUUUUGUUAAUUUCGAUGUAAAAUGUUUAGUUUUUGCACGAACUUCACAAAAUAAUGAAUCUGUUAUCACUUUUCUAGUGAUUAUAUUUAAGUGUGAAUACAAUCCAAUAAAAAAAUGUCAUAAAUUGAGAAAUAUAACAAACAUUUUGAAAAUGGCCCUUCGAAAGAGGUCGGUUAUCUUAGUACUACAAAAAGUAAAUUAUGGAUAACUAGGAAAAAAUAACAGAACUUUUUUCCGAAAAUAAAUAAAUCAACAUUAUGGUGCCCUUGAAAUUUUAUUUCAGAAAAUAUUUAUGAUUUGUUUUCAGUGUAUUUUAAAAAUAAAAUUAUGUAUAAAAUAUUA